GACGUAGGGGGCAAGCGUUGUCCGGAAUCAUUGGGCGUAAAGCGCUCGUAGGUGGAUCGGUAAGUCUGCAAAGAAAGACCCGGGCUCAACUCGGGGAACGGUGUGGAUACUACCGAUCUUGAGGCAAUCAGAGGAUGAUGGAAUUCCCGGUGUAGCGGUGAAAUGCGUAGAUAUCAAGAGGAACACCCAUGGCGAAGGCAGCUCGCUGGCCUAUAACUGACGCUGAGGCGCGAAAGCUGGGGGAGCAAACAGG
rnacentral:rRNA from 1 species